rnacentral:rRNA from 1 species
ACCACAUCUAAGGAAGGCAGCAGGCGCGAAAAUUACCCAAUACUAAUACAGUGAGGUAGUAACAAUAAAUAACACAGCCCAGCAUUUCAUGUUGGGCUUUUGGAAUGAGAACAAUUUAAAUCCAUUAUCGAGGAUCAAUUGGAGGGCAAGUCUGGUGCCAGCAGCCGCGGUAAUUCCAGCUCCAAUAGCGUAUAUUAAAGUUGCUGCAGUUAAAAAGCUCGUAGUUGGAUUUCUAGCGAGGCACGAGAAUAUCCACCUAUGGUGAAUACUUCUCUCGCCUUGCUCUUCUUUAGUUGAUGUCUCUGGCAUUAAGUUGUCGGAGUCCUGAGACUAAUCGUUUACUGUGAGAAAAUUAGAGUGUUCAAAGCAGGCUUAUGCCGUUGAAUAUAUUAGCAUGGAAUAAUAAGAUAGGACUUCGGUACUAUUUUGUUGGUUUGCGUACUGAUGUAAUGAUAAAUAGGGACUGGCGUGGGUAUUCGUAUUUUAAUGUCAGUGGUGAAAUUCUUAGAUUAUUGAAAGACGGACGACUGCGAAAGCAUCUACCAAGUAUGUUUUC